CGCCUCUUGAACUAACUAUAUAAGAGGUCCAGCCUGCCCAGUGAUAUUAAUUCAACGGCCGCGGUAUUCUGACCGUGCAAAGGUAGCGCAAUCACUUGUCUUUUAAAUGAAGACCCGUAUGAAUGGCUAAACGAGGGCAUAACUGUCUCCCUUUUCCAACCAGUGAAAUUAAUCUCCCCGUGCAGAAGCGGGGAUUCUAUCAUAAGACGAGAAGACCCUGUGGAGCUUUAGACAAAAGCCAGACCACCCCCAUCCUAUUAAUCAAAAUUAAGAACCCAUUGACUACUGACCUCCUGUCUUCGGUUGGGGCGACCACGGAGUAAACAAAAACCUCCACGCGGAAUGAAAUCAGCCUCCUUAAAACUAAGAGCCACACCUCAAAGUAACAGAAUGUUUGACCAAGAAGAUCCGGCAAUGCCGAUCAACGAACUAAGUUACCCCAGGGAUAACAGCGCAAUCUCCUUUUAGAGUCCAUAUCGACAAGGAGGUUUACGACCUCGAUGUUGGAUCAGGACAUCCUAAUGGUGCAGCCGCUAUUAAGGGUUAGUUUGUUCAACAAUUAAUAGUCCU
rnacentral:rRNA from 1 species